AGCACCGUGGAGUCAACUGAGCCUUCACCAAUUGGCCCAAGUAUCCCCCCAGGGAUGGCAGCUUCAGGGAAAGGUAGACCAGGCAUGAAGGGUGCAGCUAGCAAGGACAGUCCCUUGUUACUCAGCCCUGCCUCCCACAGCCCCAUCUCUGCACCCCAAGAGCCGCGUAUAGGAAGCUGCUGUCCCUCAGCCAGCACAGCACCAGGACUGGAGGUUGCCCAGCUGGUGGCUUUGAGCCCUGAGGGCAAUUCAUCACGUCUACAGGAUUCAUUUCCAUAAGAGUCUGCUGCAUCCACCCUCCUGAACAGAAUAGCAAUAACCAGGUGCGUGGGACAUAGGGCAGGUCCCUUCUCUCCCAUAAGACAGAGCCAAAACACAUAGCAAGGAAAGAAAUAGAGCACCGGAGGAAAGGCAUGGACAGCUAGGCUUCCUUACCUGUCCCCAGUGCUUGUUUCUGCUCCCCCUGCCCUCCAGCCAUGCUCAGGACCUGGCUGAUCACAAGAACUUGCUGGCCACACUCAGGCCAUGGCUGGGAUUCCAUGACAGCAAAUGUCCCCACCGCAGAGACCUCAGAAGUGAGAUCCAGAGAAUGUGGACAGGACUUGGAAUUUUCCACAGGAUGGUGGGUGAAGAACUGAUACGUGGAGAAGUAACAUCCCUGUGCUCUUGCAGUUAAUCGGUGGUGGGCAGGAAUUAUCAAACCAUUCUCUUCUCCCACCUACCAGCCUCCUCCUCCCUCCACCCAGCAUUAGAUCUGGGCCUUCCCUCCAUUCUGUGUU
rnacentral:lncRNA from 1 species